ACGAAGGGAGCUAGCGUUGUUCGGAAUUACUGGGCGUAAAGGGCGCGUAGGCGGUCCGAUCAGUCAGGUGUGAAAGCCCUGGGCUCAACCCGGGAAUUGCGCUUGAUACAGUCGGACUUCGAAUUCGGGAGAGGUUGGUAGAAUUCCCAGUGUAGAGGUGAAAUUCGUAGAGAUUGGGAAGAAUACCCGUGGCGAAGGCGGCCAACUGGACCGACAUUGACGCUGAGGCGCGAAAGCGUGGGGAGCAAACAG
rnacentral:rRNA from 1 species